GGAGGGAUGACAGAGUGGCCGAUUGUGCGUGCUUGGAAAGCACGUGUACCGCAAGGUACCGGGGGUUCGAAUCCCUCUCUCUCCGCAA
rnacentral:tRNA from 1 species